UAGGGAAUCUUCGGCAAUGGACGAAAGUCUGACCGAGCAACGCCGCGUGAGUGAAGAAGGUUUUCGGAUCGUAAAACUCUGUUGUUAGAGAAGAACAAGGACGUUAGUAACUGAACGUCCCCUGACGGUAUCUAACCAGAAAGCCACGGCUAACUACGUGCCAGCAGCCGCGGUAAUACGUAGGUGGCAAGCGUUGUCCGGAUUUAUUGGGCGUAAAGCGAGCGCAGGCGGUUUCUUAAGUCUGAUGUGAAAGCCCCCGGCUCAACCGGGGAGGGUCAUUGGAAACUGGGAGACUUGAGUGCAGAAGAGGAGAGUGGAAUUCCAUGUGUAGCGGUGAAAUGCGUAGUUAUAUGGAGGAACACCAGUGGCGAAGGCGGCUCUCUGGUCUGUAACUGACGCUGAGGCACGAAAGCGUGGGGAGCAAACAGG
rnacentral:rRNA from 1 species